rnacentral:rRNA from 1 species
GACGAACGCUGGCGGCGUGCUUAACACAUGCAAGUCGAACGGAAAGGCCCUGCUUUUGUGGGGUGCUCGAGUGGCGAACGGGUGAGUAACACGUGAGUAACCUGCCCUUGACUUUGGGAUAACUUCAGGAAACUGGGGCUAAUACCGGAUAGGAGCUCCUGCUGCAUGGUGGGGGUUGGAAAGUUUCGGCGGUUGGGGAUGGACUCGCGGCUUAUCAGCUUGUUGGUGGGGUAGUGGCUUACCAUGGCUUUGACGGGUAGCCGGCCUGAGAGGGUGACCGGCCACAUUGGGACUGAGAUACGGCGCAGACUCCUACGGGAGGCAGCAGUGGGGAAUAUUGCACAAUGGGCGGAAGCCUGAUGCAGCAACGCCGCGUGCGGGAUGACGGCCUUCGGGUUGUAAACCGCUUUCGACUGUGACGAAGCGUGAGUGACGGUAAUGGGUAAAGAAGCACCGGCUAACUACGUG